GGUAGAAGUGACUCGUGUUCAGGAAUUCGACCUGCAACUUGCGAAAAUUUGCAUUAAAAGGUAAUUUUUUCAACCUUUAUCGUGAAAUGUUUGUAUUAUUUCGGGUUUGCACGCGAUCUUGGCAGCUCAGUAACUUCAGCGUGGCAUCUAGAGUUGCGGAAUUAAAUUCUCCGCCGGGGUGUUAUUAUUUGUUGCAGGAAUUCGACAAAGACUAUUAUCACUAUCUUAACUACAAUUAAUCUAUUUACACUUGAUAUGUGUGUUGUCAUCAUCAUCAUCAUCAUUUCGGUGACUUAUGGUGACAGUCGUAACAGUCGGUGACUUAUGUUUGUUAUUUGAUAGAUUAAAUUUGAACAUCGUGCGUCCUCUAGAUUUGAUUUAUUGUAUUUUUGUGUAAAUUUGCUAGUCAUUUAGACAUGGUGAUGCAUGCGCACUUUCUUGUACGUGUUUCACACGUACGCUGCUAUUUAAAGCGUGACCACUCACUGCCUCAUAGACAAUUUCGCACUGACACACAUGCAAGCCACACUGUUUGAAACACUUUGUUGUUUUGUGAGGUACUAUAAAGUGUUCUCAGAUGGCGUAACGAUGUAGGUUUACCUGGAAAUAUUCCAGCGAGAGAAUUUUGUUUUCUUCAAUCGGUGCGAUAAAGACGAGCGCACAUUCCACAAUUUCGACUUGUGUUAUUCUUUGAUGUAUCCUUGGCUACGGUUCUGGUUUGUCGCAUUUCAUGGAUCCGAGAACAAUUUAUUCCACUUCUUUCAUUUUGGGAGAAAUCGAUAGAAAAUGAAAAAUUUAGAUGUUACACCACAUAAAAAACGAUUCAUUUGGCAUCGCUCAAAAAAUAUGAAUCAAUAACUGAAGAUAAACAUGUACAAUCCUGUUUGGAAAACCUUGCCGAAAACCUGAAAAUGGUCUCCAGCUUGCAAUUAAUUAGCUGUAGUUGGGAGCGCCGUAAAUAUACUGCCUAGUGUGCGAGUUGUGAUAUCCAGGUAUAGUUUAGAUACACGAAUAUUUGUAUGUAAACAAUUUUUUGUUGAGCCUAUCGCAAUAGCCACACCGCGUGACCGCGUGGUCGUUUCAGAGCGCGCAUUCAGUUCCAUUCCGGUUGCCGAGCGAAACAUGCGUGUUCAUCGCGACUAGUUUUAUCUCUCCUUAUUAUAAAUUGAACGUAAAUCGAUGUAUAUUCAAUAAAAAAUCGACGACAUUUAUUAGAAUUGCGCGUGUUCGGAAUUUCCCCAGAUAUUAAACACGAGUGAACUACUGCCGGUCGUCGGGAAUAUUUUUCGCAUGUGGAUUAUACUGCACUUGUGUUGGCCUGCAUGUGCACGGCGUGCGUGUCCGUCGGCUGUCGGUUAUUGCCCAGAAUAACUUGGAUUUAUGUUUAAUUCAAAUAAGAAUACAACGGAUGUGCCUGGAGAAGAAGUUUACGCUUACAAGGACCCUGGAGUUCCGAAUAUUCAUCGCAGAAGAGUUGCAAAUGUGCACAUGUUUUAAGGCAAGUCUUCCGCGGCAUUUAAUAGUUGUCGAUAUUUUUCUAUAUAAAGAAUGUUUGUAUUUGUAAAUGUUCUCAAUAAAAAAAAUUAAUAUGAA